AAGUACUUCAAGGAGACCUCAGAUUUUUAAAUUCCUAGAACAAGGAGGAAGGAGGAAGAACAAGGAAUAGAGUUGCAUGAUAUCAGACAGACUCCUAGAUUUUAUACAAGGGAUCAAAUCUCAAAGGUAGGAUGUGAUCCCACGGAGUGUCUCAGUCCUGCUGCAGAUGUGCCUUGGGAUCGUCGUCCCACAAGAAACAUUUCCAGACUUUACCAACGCGCCUCCUUCCAUCGUACACUUUCAGGAUGUAUCACUGCAGCUAACUCAUAAGGCAGGGUUUGCCUUCUAGGGAAGCGAGCUUCGUCUCCAAAGCACUACCACAUGAUGCUACAAAAUGCCUCUGGAAACAAAGACAAACUGUUGUUUCACCAUAAUGAAAUUUGGGAAGGAAAUUGGGAAUGAUUAUCUGACAUUUGUGUGGGGGGGGAGAAAUAUUAAUUAGCUGAUCUUCCUCCAGUCUUUGGCAAUGACCAUUUGUUCUGUUUAUGUCUAUUAACACAAAUUUCAGUGUGACUGGACACACGAUGAGUUUGCCUGUUUCUUAACCGAGGGGUUAUGCUAGUUUGUUUUUAAGGAAAACCUGCUUAUAAAAACAAUCAAUCAAAAUCAACCACCACAACCCCACAUUCGUUUAUCUUUCUGGGUGAGGAGGUGGGAGGGAGACAGAACAUACUAUUCUCCAAAGCAGCUUUAUCUCACUUCUGUUACAGCUCUUCCCAUCCCAGAAGAAUUAAAGUCCUUUCAGAUUGCUGUUAAUGAAAGCAAAGUGCUCAGUGGGGACCGUGGCCACAUCAUGAAACAGAGCAGGAAAUGGAAUAAGCGGUGGCCUGUCCACGUCACAGGACAGACCAACUGGAUGAAGUGGCUGUACUUCAGAUGCACUGCGAGGGUGAGCUUUAGUGAGCCGCGUCACUACCCAUAUGUCUGUAUUUUCUUGAUAUCAGUCAUAAAGCAUACAGUCAAACAAACCGUGGAAGGUGGUGAACAGCGAGACGGGAGGAAUGUACACAGCAAUGAGACAUAAGUUAAGAGAAUAAACAGUGAGGAUCUUUCCGUACCCACUUUUGAAAAU
rnacentral:lncRNA from 1 species